UCUGUGUGUUUCACCAUCUCCCGGGGUUCAAAUCAUUUUUCAAGGUUCAAGGUUAAAGACUGAUGAUGUGUCACCACUAGAGAGCCUGCAAUAGAGACAAAAAGAAAUUCAUAUUUAUACUGAAAAUAAAAAAAACUACUAUUGCUGUUUCCAAAAAAUGUAUUCCAUGGCUGCUAUUCUAAACUUAAAUGGGGCGGUACAAUGGUGUUUCGUGUAUUCAGAGUUGUUCGCAGUGUUAAAGAUAUGGAUUCUCAUGCUAAACAUGGCCAAAGUUGAAAAUAAUAAUUUAGAAGAAUGACUGAGAAUUUCUGUCCGAAAAUCUUACUUCCGGGUAGGUACAAGUUUCGGCUGUUUUUUUUUUUUCGAUCGUGGAUCUAAUAACGUAGACGAGAACGGAAGUCCUUAUAUGAGCAUUUCUCCCGGAAAAGCGCGCAUGCGCACACAAAUUGACCAGAGGAGAGCGAGACCGCGCACAUUAACGUGCUUCAAAUUUGUAACGUGCUUGGAUUUGUUCGAGAAUGCCUCCAAAUAACUGCAUUUUUGGAUGUGAGGGAAAGUUUACUGUGUUCAGCUUCCCCAAGAAAACAGCGUUACAUGAACAGUGGAUGCAGUUUGUUUUUCCGCGGCAGCAACGGAGUGUAUCAAGUGCGUUUGUGUAUUCUGGUCAUUUGAGUGACGAAUGUUUUAUAAACAAGGCCCAAGUCGACGCUGGAUUUGCACAUCGUUUGUUAUUAAAAUAUGGAGCCAUCCCUGUGAUAAAAGACCCCAUUCAUAUCGCUAUCGAUCAUUCCUGGAAAGGAACAUGGCUCUCUCCAGAUAGAAAUCAAAGUGUGACAUCGCAAGACUCCUAUUUCCUCUUCCGAUGUCAGGUGGGAUUGAUUUUAUGGGCUUGAAGGUCUUUCUCACCAAAGAACGCUGGAAAAACUUUACAUCGUAAGACCAAAGACACAUCCUGGAGCUUCAAGUGUGCCUUUGCUUGCAUUACACAGGAAGUGUCUAAAGAUUCCCACCAUUAAAGCUGGAUUUUACAAAGCACCGCAGGUGAACGGGAGCAGAAUGUGUUUAAAACACCGAUACAGGGAAUGAUAAACUGAUUACAGUUGUUACAUGUUGUCAAUUUCUCACAAAUAUCUGCAAAUCACCUUGGACUGCCAAAAAUGACAGAUUGCAGCAUGCUCCAAUCUGUUUUUAAUUAUGUUCAAGAUCCACGGCAGGCUUGAUUUUAGAGAUUCAGUGGAGAAUGAAGACUGACAUGAAAGCAAUUUUCCAUGCUCUCUUCAUUAAAAUUGCUUUUUCUUCCCUUCCCUUGUCUCCUUCCAUUUUCCUCCUCGCUGUCUUCCUGUAAUCCCCCUUUCCUUCUGUCUUUUUUGUUUAGCCACAUGUUAGAGAGUUGCCUAAGGAUGCAGCAGUGUAAGGCAUCACAUACAUUAUGUGAAGCCUGGUCUAAAAUAUCUAUAUUAUAAUAUAAUAAUAUAUUAUGCCUCCUAAGAUAUUUUGUUUAAAAGACAAUGUUAGAUUGCAUUUCUAUAUAAAAACAACAACAACAAAAACUACUUUUUAAAAGAUCAUUCCAUGUCAGUUAUUCUUGUGGCAGGGCUAUUAUUUAUAGUUACAUCUGAGACUAAAAACUGACAUUUUAUUACUUGGAAGAAAAAAAAUGUAAUGUAAUAACUAAAUAAACUAGAACUAAUGUAUAAAUAAAGGAAAUAAUAUUCUAUACAAGCAGACAGUGAGGCUCAUUUCUAGCUGUUUUUAACAUUGCUACAACAUAGCAGAUGGUAUAAAAAAAACAUGACUUUGAACAAGCAUCCAAAUCGAAAAUAAAAACAGUUCAUCUCUGUGAUCUAAAAAGGCAUUGUUCUUCAUGCACUAGGGAGUUUUCCUCAUUAAUACAUGAUCAUAUUGUACUAAUUUCUGUGUAAAUCCCCACAAUCGUUCACCUGGAGGAAAACAAGACUAGCAGGGGGGAGAGGUCUGCCCCAGAGCACAUGCCUCCUGAUGACAUGCUCCCCAGAGGCCAUUAGGGAAUGAUAAGGGAAUAUUCUGUUUCCCUUGAUAGAGCCUUUAAAAUAUUCAGUGUGAGAGUCCUCGUUUGCACUCUUUCUUGCUCUCCUGUCUCUUUCUCUCUGGGUCCUUGUGGCUUUCUCCUCAUCAGUAAUAGAAUCCUGGUGUCAGUGCUGCAGCUCUCAGCAUGAGGCUAAUGAAGAGAUGGAGCUGUCACUGGGAGAGACCAGCCACCACAAAUGACAUACAUUGUUCACCCCCCAUCCAUAUAACACGGUACAGUCUGCAACAACCCACCCACCUUAAUACUCUCAACCGCUCCUGAACAGAGCCAGUGUCAUGCCAGACAGAACAUUACAGAUUUAGAAUCACAAUUGUUUAGCACAAAAAAUGUUCUUAAAAUUUGACAUUGACAUUUUAAAGGGUUCAUAAUGAUGUGAUUUAAAUUUUUCCUUACUCUUUGGAGUAUUACAAGCUCCAAUGUUAAUUAAGAAAAAGUUGCAUCUGUAAAGUUGCAAAGACCAAAGUCUCAAAUCCAAAUAGAUAUUGUUUAUGAAAGUUGACUUGUCCACGCCCUCCUAAAAUGGCUCAUUCUAACACGCCUCCACAUGUCUACAUCACUGUGUUGGAAGAUUUCCAUAACAAUGUCCAAAUGUUCACGCAAAGAAAGAAGGCGUAACUUUUUUUUAAUAUUUUUAUAUAUAUAUAUAUAUAUAUAUUAGUGAUUUUUUUUUUUUAAUCACAAAAUUUGAAAGCUUAGAAAGUUUUCAGUUCUAUUUCUUCACUGCUUGUCUUUAGUAAAUCCUGACAGUACUAUUUUAAUGCCAACACAAGCAGUUAGUAAAUCUGGCCAUUUGUUUCAUACCAAAAAACCUGCUUUGUCUCUCUGUCUGGAUGGAUGGAUGAAUGAAUAAAUGAACGGAGGAUGGAUAAAUGGAUUUGCGAAUAAAUUAAUUAAUUGAAGGAUCAAUGGAUUAAUUGAAAGAUACAUGGAUAGAUGGAUGAAUAUGAUGGUGGAUGAAUAAAUGAAUCAAAUGAUGGAUAGAUAUUAUAUAUGAUAUAUUUGGCUCAGGGUGUAUGAAACUUUAUUUCCCAGAAUGCAUUGCUUUUUUUCAGAUUGGAAUUCUAAAAAUUCCUCUUCCUGUCAUUCCAAUUCAGAUUUUGUGAGCAUGAACUAGUUUUAUCUCGAUUUCCAAUUUAAACUCUUUAGGGAAAACUCAAGCAGCUUAACAUUAGGUUCUCUACCAUUAAACACAAGCUUCAAUUACAAUCAAAUUUGGCACUGCUUUCCAUUUCCCUCUCUGAGCAAUGUAAAAUAAUCCUUACGACUUCAUAACAAAUUCAUAGUAUCAAGUACAGAACUCAUGCUCAGCAAUCAGACAGCAGAAGUCUUUACACUCUCUGGAAACAUGAUCUUGUGACCUUUAUUUGAGUUCAUAAUCUCCUAUCAUCGCUACGCUGCUGCUGACCUUAUGCAGAUGCCUCAUGGUUGACUCUAUACACCGCUCAAGGUAAGCCAAUAGACUGUACUGUAAUUAGAGCAUUACAUAUGCCACAAUGAAUGAUGUGCAGGUUACUAUGUUCGCACUUCACUCCAUAAUUUAGCAUGUUUAUAUUCUUGCAAAUUUGUGUGCAGUAGAUUUUGCUCACUUUCUGAAAAGAGAACAGGCAGGUCACUUUAUUCAGUGGAUUUGUGUUCAUAGUCAAAGCUUGUGUGUUAGCCAAACUGUCCUCUCCAGUGUGAAUUAAAAUAUAUUUAAGACAGUAUUUAUGCAUUUUUGUUGUACAUUUUCUGAUUAGCUAGGUACAGAGACAUUUAUAGUUACAAGAGUCAUUCUAAAAGAGGCUGAUUAGCACCUGCAUCAUGUUGAUGCUCAAAAUUCAUUAGAAAUUCAGAUUUCCGUGAUUAGUCAAGCACUUCUAUUAAUUCGCUAAAUAAUCCCAUUCUAUAUUAAUCCUCGCCUCAUGCUUAAAUAUCUCCCCAUCUAUCUUCGCCAAGCAUUUCAUUUGGAUUUCUGCAGGCUUAGAAGAGGUUGAUCCAUCAGUUUUACAAAUUGCAAGCAUUCAUCACGUUCAUUCAUGGAAAAAGUUUGCAAAAAAUUAGCAAUGGAUCGCUGAGCUAACUUUGAGAUUGACAGGAAAAUACAUGUUUACUUCUAAAAUAAUGUCUAAGCACCUAUGGCAAAUGUGUCCUUAGGGCCAUAAAAAGAACAUUAAAAACAAAAGUAAUGUCAAAAACUCAUACUCAUGUAGAAACAGGAAGUUGAAGCGGGACAUAUCAGGUACUUCAGGUGAAUUUUAAACAGACUAUACAUAUUUUUAGCCAUUAGUACAUACAGUAUAUAAUAGGUGAAGAAUUUUCAUUGCAUUGAACAACAACAGCUAUUUAAUGUGUCUAAACUUGUCAGAAUUACAAGCACAUCAGCCUCUCCUCAUUCUGACACUUGUACAAAUGCAAAUGUUCUUUUUCAAUCAGUUGAAAGUGAUUACCCACUACCUGCUCCUGACAUCCCAUAAUUACAGCAAGCCCUAUUAAGAAGAGCCAGACGCACAUCCAUAAUGGCGCAUGGGGAUCGGUCCAACUGUGAAGCGUUUUCCAAAGAGCAGGCCAAGUAAGGGUCUUUGUUGGAUUGCAGUCUUAAUUGCCGGACUCAUCAGUCAUCUCUAUUUUGGGUUCGCUCUAGUGUUAUUAGCAUAUUUACACAUCCAGGCAUUCAGCAUUUGCUGGCUACAUUGGCCCAACACCUUGACCCAAUGUUAUUUAUCCCUCGAUUUAAUACAAGUAAACAAUAUUAAUUUUUUUGUAUAUGUUUUUGAUGUCAAAAUAUGUUCAUUUAUAUCCUAGCCAUUUUUGAGUCACUCUUUC
rnacentral:lncRNA from 1 species